CCUACGGGAGGCUGCAGUAGGGAAUCUUUCACAAUGGGCGAAAGCCUGAUGGAGCAACGCCGCGUGCAGGAUGAAGGCCUUCGGGUUGUAAACUGCUUUUAUAAGCGAGAAAUAUGAUGGUAACUUAUGAAUAAGGAUCGGCUAACUACGUGCCAGCAGCCGCGGUCAUACGUAGGAUCCGAGCAUUAUCCGGAGUGUCUGGGUGUAAAGAGUUGCGUAGGUGGCAUAAUAAGUAGCUAGUGAAAUCUGGUGGCUCAACCAUUCAGACUAUUAGCUAAACUGUUAAGCUCGAGACCGUUAGGGGUAACUGGAAUGUCUAGUGUAGGAGUGAAAUGCGUAGAUAUUAGAAAGAACACCGAUAGCGUAGGCAGGUUACUGGGACGGUUCUGACACUAAGGCACGAAAGCGUAGGGAGCAAACGGGAUUAGAUACCCCUGUAGUC
rnacentral:rRNA from 1 species